GACGAACGCUGGCGGCGUGCUUAACACAUGCAAGUCGAACGGAAAGGCCCCCAUCUUGGUGGGGGUGCUCGAGUGGCGAACGGGUGAGUAACACGUGGGUGAUCUGCCCUGUACUUCGGGAUAAGCUUGGGAAACUGGGUCUAAUACCGGAUAGGACCAUGGACUAGUGUCUCAUGGUGGGAAGAUUAUUGUUUUUGUGCCGGAUGAGCGCAGGGCCUAUGAGCUGGUUGGUGGGUUAAGGGCCUACGAAGGCGUGGAAAGGUAGCCGGCCGGGGAGGGCGGACGCCCAGAAUCGGACUGACGGACCGCACAGCCACGGACGGGAGGAGGCAGUAGUGAAUAUCGAACAAUGGGCGCCUGCCUGAUGCAGCGACGCCGCGUGGGGGAUGUCGGCCGUCGGGUUGUAACCUCCUUUCGUUAGGGACGAAGCCGCACUUUUUUUGGGUGUGGUGACGGUACCUUUGUUAAGAAGCACCGGCUAACUACGUG
rnacentral:rRNA from 1 species